GCUAGCGUAGCUCAAUCGGUAGAGCAACGGUAUCGUAAACCGUAGGUCGUGGGUUCAAUUCCCACCGCUAGCU
rnacentral:tRNA from 1 species